AAUAAGUACAACAAUGAGUUUCCGCGACCAAUUUUGAUCGUCCGUCUUAUUUAAAAUUUUUUUAUAAUUAGCAUUUUUGUUGUUAUGAGAUGAUAAAACAAGAGUAGUACUUUACUCGUGGCUUAUGUUUUCAAAUUUUUUUAAAAAAUUUUCAGAUAAGACGAACGGUCAAAGUUGGGCGCGAAAAACCAUGGCUGCACUUAUU
rfam:Oryza nivara chromosome 3, whole genome shotgun sequence.